rnacentral:rRNA from 1 species
UACAGAGGUCUCAAGCGUUGUUCGGAUUCAUUGGGCGUAAAGGGUGCGUAGGUGGCGCCGUAAGUCAGGUGUGAAAUUUCGGAGCUUAACUCCGAAACUGCAUUUGAUACUGGCGGUGCUUGAGGACUGGAGAGGAGACUGGAAUUUACGGUGUAGCAGUGAAAUGCGUAGAGAUCGUAAGGAAGACCAGUGGCGAAGGCGGGUCUCUGGACAGUUCCUGACACUGAGGCACGAAGGCCAGGGGAGCAAACGGG